UGCCAGGUCUUCUAAUGGUAGGAAUGUGGACUCUGAAUCCAUCAAUCUAGGUUCGAAUCCUAGCCUGGCAGCCA
rnacentral:tRNA from 1 species